rnacentral:rRNA from 1 species
GACGAACCGUGCGAACGUUGUUCGGAAUCACUGGGCUUAAAGGGCGCGUAGGCGGGCUGUCAAGUCUGGGGUGAAAUGCCGCGGCUCAACCGUGGAACUGCCUUAGAUACUGACGGCCUCGAGGAAGGUAGGGGCAUGCGGAACUGUAGGUGGAGCGGUGAAAUGCGUUGAUAUCUACAGGGACUCCGGUGGCGAAAGCGGCGUGCUGGACCUUUUCUGACGCUGAGGCGCGAAAGCUAGGGGAGCAAACGGGAUUAGAUACCCGGGUGACGU